AUAUGGAUAAUAUUUGACCUAUCUUGCAGGGAUUGUGUAGGUGAAUAAUUAGUGAUUAUAAAGUACCUCCUAUUACAAAGCUGUGCAAACAUCAAACUCUAGAUGAAGCACUCAUUCGCACAUUAGAAAACAACAUCCAAGUUUGCAUAUAUAUAUACAUGCAAAGAAUAUACAUUGUCAAGAAAAUUUGGAUGCUGUAUAUAUAUAUCUUUGGACCUGACAAAAACAUCUAAUUUAUAUUUUGUUAUAAAGAUAGCAGUAAAUUUUAGUCUUUUAGAUUUGGUCUAAUUAAAAUUAUGUACUUAAUUUACACUGUUUUCUGUAACCUUCCACAAUUUAGAUACAUGAAGUCAGCAUGGGCAGAUCAAAUUAAAAAGGAAUGUUAGACCUUAUUCCUUUAAUAUUAGCUAUAACUAAUACAUAUAUAUUAUAUAUAUAUAUAUAUACUAUAACUAGUAUGUACUGUAACUCAUACUUGAAUAAAUGCAAAGAUAAUAGACACACAAAAAGGGGAAAUCAAUGCAGCCGAACUCUAGCUUUACGCCAGGUUGAGUACACCUGGCAGUGAAUCACCUAUGUGCUUUGUCAACGGUUAGCAAAGGAAAGCUGCAAAGCAUCAUGGGUAGGAGCAUGGUCUCUGAGCUGGACUAAGUUUCACUCCCAGCUCUGUCAUUUCCUGGCUGCUUGACCUGUAAAAUGGAGAUAUACAGACAACACUUCCUUCAUAAGGUGAAGAAACUAAGAAUCAGAGGAGUUCUAACUGAGCCAUGAGGACUCGAUUCCUGAAAACCUUAUUUAUAAAAAACAGGAAUGGGAACUAAAACAAGGCAACCUGUGCAAGCCCUUACAAGUUUUUCAUGUAUUACAGUAAAAGGUAAAGCAACUUAAAAACCACUUGACAUUUUUUAACAUUUGUAAAAUUUUGUAAUGCACAGUUGUCUCUCAUUUACCAUCCCUUGCUAGAAACUUCUUAGGCUCACCCUUCACUGCAUUUCCAACAUUAUUUUGCUGAUAAUGUAUACGCCCAAGUGACAUGUUUUCAUUUGGCUUAACUUUCAAUGCCUUUUUGAUUUUAUGAUCUAGUCCUUUAUUGCUGGACCCUUGAAUUGUAUCUAGUCUUCUGCUAUUACAAAAAAUGCUGAAUCAAAUAAACCUGAACAUGUAACAUCA
rnacentral:lncRNA from 1 species